UACGUAGGGUGCAAGCGUUGUCCGGAAUUAUUGGGCGUAAAGGGCGUGUAGGCGGCCAUGCAGGUCAGCUGUGAAAACUCGAUGGCUCAACCUCGAGAUGUCGGUUGAAACCGUAUGGCUAGAGUCCGGAAGAGGAGAGUGGAAUUCCCGGUGUAGCGGUGAAAUGCGCAGAUAUCGGGAAGAACACCCGUGGCGAAGGCGGCUCUCUGGGACGGUACUGACGCUGAGACGCGAAAGCGUGGGGAGCGAACAGG
rnacentral:rRNA from 1 species